rnacentral:rRNA from 1 species
AUUGAACGCUGGCGGCAGGCCUAACACAUGCAAGUCGAACGAGCGGCGGACGGGUGAGUAAUGUCUGGGAAACUGCCUGAUGGAGGGGGAUAACUCCUGGAAACGGUAGCUAAUACCGCAUACCAUCGGAUGUGCCCAGAUGGGAUUAGCUAGUAGGUGGGGUAAAGGCUCACCUAGGCGACGAUCCCUAGCUGGUCUGAGAGGAUGACAAGCCACCCGGGCACUGGGACAAGGUCCCGACUCCUACGGGAGGCAGCAGUGGGAAAUAUUGCACAAUGGGCGCCAGCCUGAUGCAGCCAUGCCGCGUGUAUGAAGAAGGCCUUCGGGUUGUAAAGUACUUUCAGCGGGGAGGCGUUACCCGCAGAAGAAGCACCGGCUAACUCCGUGCCAGCAGCCGCGGUAAUAC